rnacentral:rRNA from 1 species
AUUGAACGCUGGCGGCAUGCUUUACACAUGCAAGUCGAGCGGCAGCGCGGGGGCAACCCUGGCGGCGAGCGGCGAACGGGUGAGUAACACAUCGGAACGUAUCCCGUAGAGGGGGAUAGCCCGGCGAAAGCCGGAUUAAUACCGCAUAUGCUCUACGGAGGAAAGCGGGGGACUCGCAAGGGCCUCGCGCUAUGGGAGCGGCCGAUGGCCGAUUAGCUAGUUGGUGGGGUAAAGGCCUACCAAGGCGACGAUCGGUAGCUGGUCUGAGAG